GGUCAAGCGAUGAAGCGCACACGGUGGAUGCCUAGGCAGCCAGAGGCGAUGAAGGACGUGGAAGCCUGCGAUAAGGCUCGGCGAGGUGGCAAACAACCUGCGACCCGGGCAUUUCCGAAUGGGGAAACCCACUCAGGGUAACCUGAGUAUCCUGACCUGAAUCCAUAGGGUCAGGAGGCGAACCGGGGGAACUGAAACAUCUCAGUACCCCGAGGAACAGAAAUCAACCGAGAUUCCCCCAGUAGCGGCGAGCGACCGGGGAGCAGCCCUUAAGCGUGACAACCGAUAGGCGAACAGGCUGGGAAGCCUGACGAUACAGGGUGAUAGUCCCGUAGCCGAAAUCCGCGUCACGUGAAAUCGAGUAGGUCGGGGCACGUGAAACCUUGACUGAAGACGGGGGGACCAUCCUCCAAGGCUAAAUACUCCUGGCUGACCGAUAGUGAACCAGUACCGUGAGGGAAAGGCGAAAAGAACCCCGGAGAGGGGAGUGAAAUAGACCCUGAAACCGUGUGCGUACAAGCAGUGGGAGCAGGCAAGUCCUGUGACCGCGUACCUUUUGUAUAAUGGGUCAGCGACUUAUUUUCAGUGGCGAGCUUAACCGAUUAGGGGAGGCGUAGAGAAAUCGAGUCUUAACUGGGCGACCAGUCGCUGGAAAUAGACCCGAAACCGGGCGAUCUAUCCAUGAGCAGGUUGAAGGUUGAGUAACAUCAACUGGAGGACCGAACCAGGAACUGUUGAAAAAGUUUUGGAUGACUUGUGGAUCGGAGUGAAAGGCUAAUCAAGCCCGGAGAUAGCUGGUUCUCCUCGAAAGCUAUUUAGGUAGCGCCUCACGUAUCACCGCCGGGGGUAGAGCACUGUUUCGGCUAGGGGGCCAUCCCGGCUUACCAACCCGAGGCAAACUCCGAAUACCGGUGAGUGCGANNNNNNNNNNNNNNNNNNNNNNNNNNNNNNNNNNNNNNNNNNNNNNNNNNNNNNNNNNNNNNNNNNNNNNNNNNNNNNNNNNNNNNNNNNNNNNNNUCGCGGCUGGAGCGGAAGGCGGUCGAAGAUACCAGGUGGCUGCAACUGUUUAUUAAAAACACAGUACUCUGCAAACGCGUAAGCGGACGUAUAGGGUAUGACGCCUGCCCGGUGCCGGAAGGUUAAUUGAUGGUGUUAGCGUAAGCGAAGCUCCUGAUCGAAGCCCCGGUAAACGGCGGCCGUAACUAUAACGGUCCUAAGGUAGCGAAAUUCCUUGUCGGGUAAGUUCCGACCUGCACGAAUGGCGUAAUGAUGGCCACGCUGUCUCCACCCGAGACUCAGUGAAAUUGAAAUCGCAGUGAAGAUGCUGUGUACCCGCGGCUAGACGGAAAGACCCCGUGAACCUUUACUACAGCUUCACACUGGACGCUGAUGUUGCUUGUGUAGGAUAGCUGGGAGGCUUUGAAACGGUAGCGCCAGCUGCCGUGGAGCCAUCCUUGAAAUACCAGCCUGGCAUCAUUGGCGUUCUAACUCAGAUCCGUUAUCCGGAUCGAGGACCGUGUGUGGUGGGUAGUUUGACUGGGGCGGUCUCCUCCCAAAGUGUAACGGAGGAGCACGAAGGUACCCUCAGCACGGUCGGAAAUCGUGCAAUGAGUGCAAGAGCAUAAGGGUGCUUAACUGCGAGACAGACACGUCGAGCAGAUACGAAAGUAGGUUCUAGUGAUCCGGUGGUUCUGUAUGGAAGGGCCAUCGCUCAACGGAUAAAAGGUACUCCGGGGAUAACAGGCUGAUACCGCCCAAGAGUUCACAUCGACGGCGGUGUUUGGCACCUCGAUGUCGGCUCAUCACAUCCUGGGGCUGAAGUCGGUCCCAAGGGUAUGGCUGUUCGCCAUUUAAAGUGGUACGCGAGCUGGGUUUAGAACGUCGUGAGACAGUUCGGUCCCUAUCUGCCGUGGGCGUUGGAGAUUUGAGAAGUGCUGCUCCUAGUACGAGAGGACCGGAGUGGACGACCCUCUGGUGUACCGGUUGUCACGCCCGUGGCAUUGCCGGGUAGCUAAGGUCGGACGGGAUAACCGCUGAAAGCAUCUAAGCGGGAAGCCUCCUUCAAGAUGAGAUCUCCCCGAGGCCUCGAGCCUCCUGAAGGGUCCAGCAAGACGAGCUGGUUGAUAGGCCGGAUGUGGAAGCGCUGCAAGGCGUUGAGCUGACCGGUACUAAUGGCCCGUGAGGCUUGACCAU
rnacentral:rRNA from 1 species